rnacentral:ncRNA from 1 species
GCACGUAGAGGUGCGAGAUUUAAGAGUCACUUGUUUUAGGGUAAUGCCGAUGAGAACAAGUAAAAGGAAAUCUUGCCGAAGCAGAAAAAAGUUAAUUAGGCUCUUCUGCUGGUGUUGUGCUCAAACAGACUCAACACUGCCAUAGUAUUAAUCUAACUAUGGAGCGCUACUGU